AGUCGAACGCUUCUUUCCUCCCGAGUGCUUGCACUCAAUUGGAAAGAGGAGUGGCGGACGGGUGAGUAACACGUGGGUAACCUACCCAUCAGAGGGGGAUAACACUUGGAAACAGGUGCUAAUACCGCAUAACAGUUUAUGCCGCAUGGCAUAAGAGUGAGAGGCGCUUUCGGGUGUCGCUGAUGGAUGGACCCGCGGUGCAUUAGCUAGUUGGUGAGGUAACGGCUCACCAAGGCCACGAUGCAUAGCCGACCUGAGAGGGUGAUCGGCCACACUGGGACUGAGACACGGCCCAGACUCCUACGGGAGGCAGCAGUAGGGAAUCUUCGGCAAUGGACGAAAGUCUGACCGAGCAACGCCGCGUGAGUGAAGAAGGUUUUCGGAUCGUAAAACUCUGUUGUUAGAGAAGAACAAGGACGUUAGUAACUGAACGUCCCCCGACGGUAUCUAACCAGAAAGCCACGGCUAACUACGUGCCAGCAGCCGCGGUAAUACGUAGGUGGCAAGCGUUGUCCGGAUUUAUUGGGCGUAAAGCGAGCGCAGGCGGUUUCUUAAGUCUGAUGUGAAAGCCCCCGGCUCAACCGGGGAGGGUCAUUGGAAACUGGGAGACUUGAGUGCAGAAGAGGAGAGUGGAAUUCCAUGUGUAGCGGUGAAAUGCGUAGAUAUAUGGAGGAACACCAGUGGCGAAGGCGGCUCUCUGGUCU
rnacentral:rRNA from 1 species